AACGAACGUUAGCGGCGCGCUUAACACAUGCAAGUCGCACGAGAAAGGGCUUCGGCCCCGGUACAGUGGCGCACGGGUGAGUAACACGUAGAUAAUCUACCCUCAGGUGGUGGAUAACCCCUCGAAAGGGGGGCUAAUACAGCAUAAGACCACGUCCACGCGAGUGGAUGAGGUCAAAGUGGGCCUCUUCAUGAAAGCUCACGCCAGGGGAUGAGUCUGCGGCCCAUCAGCUAGUUGGUAGGGUAACGGCCUACCAAGGCAAAGACGGGUAGCUGGUCUGAGAGGAUGAUCAGCCACACUGGAACUGAGACACGGUCCAGACUCCUACGGGAGGCAG
rnacentral:rRNA from 1 species